CUUUCCCUCUGGCGGUAGGCCUAACACAUGCAAGUCGAACGGCAGCACAGUAAGAGCUUGCUCUUCCGGGGGGCGAGUGGCGGACGGGUGAGGAAUACAUCGUAACCUACUUUUUCGGGUGGGAUCACGUAGGGAAACUUACGCUAAUACCGCAUACGACCUACGGGUGAAAGCAUGGGAUCUUCGGACCUUGCGCGAUUGAAUUAGCCGAUGUCGGACUAGCUAGUUGGCGGGGUAAAGGCCCACCAAGGCGACGAUCCGUAGCUGGUCUGAGAGGAUGAUCAGCCACACUGGAACUGAGACACGGUCCAGACUCCUACGGUAGGCAGCAGUGGGGAAUAUUGGACAAUGGGCGCAAGCCUGAUCCAGCCAGAGCGCGUGGGUGAAGAAGGCCUUGGGGUUGUAAAGACCUUUUGUUGGGAAAGAAAAGCAGCAGGUUAAGACCCCGCGGUUCUGACGGUACCCAAAGAAUAAGCACCGGCUAACUUCGUG
rnacentral:rRNA from 1 species